UGCCCGACCGCGUCCGUCAGGGAGCCGCGCGACGAUCCAUCAUCGUGCGCCGUCGCGUCGGUGCCGAGAUCGCCGAGCGCGCGGCGGGGUGACGGGCGGUCCGCGCCGUGGGAUGAGAAGACGUUGAAGGCGACGAGGAACGCCGCCAGGAAGGCGAGCGCGGGGACGCGCCGCCCCGCCAUCGUCUCGUCAGCCGUCGGGGCACCGCGACGAG
rnacentral:lncRNA from 1 species